rnacentral:rRNA from 2 species
GGUGAAGUUUUUCGGAUCGCGGCGACGCCGGCGGUUCGCCGCCGGUGACGUUGUGAGAAGUUCAUUAAACCUUAUCAUUUAGAGGAAGGAGAAGUCGUAACAAGGUUUCCGUAGGUGAACCUGCGGAAGGAUCAUUG